rnacentral:lncRNA from 1 species
UCUGGGCCUGGGGAGGGGGGGGGAAUCACCGGGCCCGAGGGGACCUUUGCGCCCCCCCCCUCGUGUCACCGCUCUGCGGUUUGCUCGCUGACGCCGAGGCGGUCUGCUGCACCCCCGCUGCAGCACCGUUUCAGCCGUUAGGGGAAGUGGGGGUUUUUUAUUUGUGGUUUCCAGAGCUUUCCGGAGUGAUGCGCUGCAAAACCAGCGCUGUCCUGACUCGCCCUCUUCUCUCUCUGCAGAACCGGCUGCUCUUCUCCGCCCGGAGCCGCUUUCCGUGUCCCGCGGCGGCCGUGAGUCACGCCGCUUAGCCGCAGAGUUCGCAGCCUCCCUCCUUGCUGGCAGCCCGGAAGGACGUACGAAGCCGCUGGAAGCGGGCAGAGCCGAGAGGAUGAGACUGGAGUUUCCCCCUAGGUCUCACCUGGGAUGGUGUCCUGCAGGCAGCAGGUGCUUCUCCUCCGCCUGGAAGAAGAGCGUGAGCAGAGGAGGAUGAGGAGKUCCUCCGGUUGCGUGCUGGAUCCGUGCGCUGCCUCGCGACCCAAAAGCCGCGAGCGAAGCUGCGGUUAGCGCUCUGAGCCUGCCGCCAGGCUCUGCCGAAUCGCCC